AUUGAACGCCGGCGGCAUGCCUUACACAUGCAAGUCGAACGGUAACAGGUCUUCGGAUGCUGACGAGUGGCGAACGGGUGAGUAAUACAUCGGAACGUGCCUAGUAGUGGGGGAUAACUACUCGAAAGAGUGGCUAAUACCGCAUGAGAUCUACGGAUGAAAGCAGGGGAUCGCAAGACCUUGUGCUACUAGAGCGGCCGAUGGCAGAUUAGGUAGUUGGUGGGAUAAAAGCUUACCAAGCCGACGAUCUGUAGCUGGUCUGAGAGGACGAUCAGCCACACUGGGACGGAGACACGGCCCAGACUCCUACGGGAGGCAGCAGUGGGGAAUUUGGGACAAUGGGCGAAAGCCUGAUCCAGCAAUGCCGCGUGCAGGAUGAAGGCCUUCGGGUUGUAAACUGCUUUUGUACGGAGCGAAAAGCCCCGGGUUAAUACCCUGGGGUCAUGACGGUACCGUAAGAAUAAGCACCGGCUAACUACGUGCCAGCCGCCGCAGUAA
rnacentral:rRNA from 1 species